AAAAAGAAACCAGAGUCGAUUAAAAAAAACGCAAAAGCAAGCAGAAAAAAAAACGUAAAAGGUUGCAAGUUAAUCGUCGGCUCCUCACCUUCAUAAAGACAGAGAGAGAUUGAUUCCUUUUUCGAUAUCCGUUUGUAGAGAUUUUAUUCUAUCGAUUCGAUACCGGUUAUUCCACAACAAGCAAGAGCUAUAGAAAGAUUUUUUUUUGCUUUCUUUGAUUGUUAAUCGUCAUGACGUGAUUGUUGAUAUUUUCUUUUAUAUAUAUGAGACUCUGAUCUUCAAGCCACAAAAGCGAGGUUAAUUGGUUUCUUUUUCAGAUUUGGUCUUUUGUGGGUCUCGAUUGUGCCCUAGGUUCCGCUUCAAAGGAGGAGGUUAAGGCUUCAUGCAGAGAAAACUACUUGGACUCGGGAUCCAGAAAUCAGUAUAUAUUUUAGAAAAUUGUUUGAUUUUGCAUUUUUUUCUCCCACUGUUUUGCUCUGCCCGUGAUCGUGAGAUCCGAAGGAGAAAUUACUGGUCCAUUCCAUGUGUGGACUCUCACUUCCUUCUGAUUUGGUACAUCUGCGGAGCACGGCCUGUGCGAUCAAAAUAGGUAGGCUUCCCUGCUUCUCUUAGUUGAGAUAUUUCACUGGUGGAUAACAAAAAUUCGCCAGUAGCCAAGCAUGCUAGAGUCGAUGGUAUAACUCCCAGUUUGUUCUUACCGGUCUUAGAAUAUCCAGCAUUUCAACCACAUUACAUGCCGGUCCUUGGUUGAGUAUAUUUGUUGGUUGCUUAAAGGAAAGUGAUAAUCCAUAAUCCAUAUAGUUCGAUCUGUGAUGGGAUUAUUUUAAUCUCUGUGCAGAUAAUUAUCAAAAUUUAUCGGCCUCCUUCCCUUUAACUUCCAGAUUCAUCAAGAAUGAGGAGAGAGAGUAUGGGAUGGUGCAUGUUGUGUCAUGGAUGGAAACUUUAGCCAUUCGACUACUUGCAAUUCUUGCUAACUCAACUCUGUCAAAUUCAAGGGACGUAGCGUCUGAACAAGUACCAGUUCAAUAUGGUGGACUUAAGUUCAAUAUGUUGGACUUAACAUGAAAGGUGAGCUGGAAUUCCCAACAUCCAAACAUACCGUCAAAUUCACAUUUAAGGAAGAAAACCAUCUUGCUUGGGAACUCCGGAUGGUUGGUUGGGAUGUGACUAUGUGGCUACGAAGUUGAAUUUGUGCCGAGUGCAGAUGAUGGUUACACAAUGAUUGUAUCAAAUACUAGGAAGGUCACCCUUACUGAUGAACCAGUCAUCUCUGACGGCUUCAAAACUGGUGAGCCUAGAAAGGUUGUGAUCACCAUUGAUAACCAGAUCUCCAAGUAGAAGAAGCUCCUUUACAGGUCCAAGACCAAAACUCCAUCCGAGUGAGGUUCAAUUAUCAAUGCACUCUUUGUCCUGGGUUAUCAGUUGCUUCACAACGCCAAGACCUGAAUGACUUUAUCAACAAUGUUGUUUUUUAUUCACAUUUGUAUCCCUCAAUGAUUUUUUCCCUCGAUCAUUUACAUAUGAUCACAUGUAUAAGUGGAUGUUUACUCAUCUGGUUGUUUUGUAUCAAUAAACUCCUCUUUGUACAUAGUUUUAUUGAUCGAGGGAAAGGGCAAAUACUACUAUUAACUAAUGCAGGUAAAGAAUUAUUAUUGAUUUUCUUUUAUGCAAGGAGAUGGCAUCCUUUUCUCUUGGUA